rnacentral:rRNA from 1 species
UACGGAGGGGGCGAGCGUUAUUCGGAAUUAUUGGGCGUAAAGGGUGCGUAGGCGGCGCGGAAAGUAGGGUGUGAAAUCCCUCGGCUUAACCGAGGAACUGCGCCCUAAACUACCGUGCUUGAGGGAGAUAGAGGUGAGCGGAACUUAGGGUGGAGCGGUGAAAUGCGUUGAUAUCCUAAGGAACACCGGUGGCGAAAGCGGCUCACUGGAUCUCUUCUGACGCUGAGGCACGAAAGCUAGGGUAGCGAACGGG